rnacentral:rRNA from 1 species
CCCUUAGAUGUUCGGGGCCGCACGCGCGCUACACUGAAGGAAUCAGCACGUCUUUCUCCUUGUCCGAAAGGACUGGGUAACCCGCUGAACCUCCUUCGUGCUAGGGAUUGGGGCUUGUAAUUCUUCCCCAUGAACGAGGAAUUCCCAGUAAGCGCGAGUCAUAAGCUCGCGUUGAUUACGUCCCUGCCCUUUGUACACACCGCCCGUCGCUACUACCGAUUGGAUGGUUUAGUGAGAUCCUCGGAUUGGUCCCGGAGCGGCCUCUGGUCGUGCCGGAGUGCCGAAAAGAAUGUCGAACUUGAUCAUCGAGAGGAAGUAAAAGGCGUAACA